rnacentral:lncRNA from 1 species
CUUGGUGUUCUGCAAGACACAUGGAAGGCCUGAAGAAAAAUUCUAGCCACUGUCUGGCCGUUGUGUGUUUACCUUAGAUGUUCUCCUCCUUAACUCCUGGGUCUCAGUCCCAGGGAGUCAACAUAGAAGGCAUUCAGACCAGCUCCAUGGUCCUGGCCCUGGCCCAGUGCUCUCUGCCAGAUUCUAAACACACCUGCUAAACAGAUUCUUUUCUCUCAGCACUCUGCUGACAUUUUCAGCUGGAACCAAAGUCCCUCUCUUGGUCCACAGCAUUCCUCCGCCUGCUCACUGGAUCAUUUGUCCACCCCAUUCCUCAGGAGCUGCUCCUUGAUUCUGACUGGAAAUUCCUUCUAAAUCAAAAGAAAACCUGAUCCAAACCUGAGGGACGGCUGGGAAAUGAUUGAAUGUUAAUCAUCUUCUGUAGGAAAAAACGAAAGCAAGAGCUUCCUGUUCAGAGUUCUUCCUCCUUCUCCUUGGGACCAGGGGCCUUCACCUGAAGUUGACCUGAGGUGUCAUGCACAUUUGACACAUGAAAAAAACUCAGAAAAGCUCAAGAAUUUGUCCGAAGACUCCUAAUUGGUGACUGGGCUAGAUGGACCCCAAGCCUGUGGUUAGGGGGUUUCACCUGUCACCUCUAACAAAGAUGUAGAUGACUGAGCCAGUCACCUCCAUGGAAUUCAGCCUGUAGAAGGGAUAUCCGAGAUGACAAGGGCCUCUGCCAAAUAUGUGGUGUGUGGGUAUAGUCAAAUUUUUUCUGCAUAUAUAGUUACAACAGACAUGAAAGGAAGAUACUGCACAGAAAUAAUUCCUGUUAAAAAAAAAAAACUAUUGAAGAAACUGAGGUACAGAAAGGGAAACAAACCAGCUCAAAACCUCACAGCUCGUAAGUGGCAGAGCUUGGAACUGAACCCAUUUUUCUCUUACUCUUAAUCAAAGGCCUUUGGAAUGAUCAACCCAGGCCUUGGUUAUUCCCAUUCCUGAGGAGGCAUGAAAAAAACAAAGUUUAUGCCCUUAUAUGUGAGAACUGUAGGCUAUUCAGACGUCUUUUACUGUAUCACAGUCAUCUGCAUUUGCUAUAUCUUUUGAGUCCACUGCUUUGAAGGGUGCUGCAUUUACCCUUACAGGCACUUCUGUUGGGUGUAUAAAUGGCUCUAAAAUUUCUGGAAGAUAAUUAAGUACCACAUAUGAAGAGCCACCCUUUGAUACAGUGAUUUUACUCAUUGGAAUCUGUCCUAAGAAAACAAUCAGAG